rnacentral:rRNA from 1 species
UGGGGAAUUUUGGACAAUGGGCGCAAGCCUGAUCCAGCCAUGCCGCGUGCAGGAUGAAGGCCUUCGGGUUGUAAACUGCUUUUAUACGGAACGAAAAGCCCCCUUCUAAUAAAGGGGGUGAUGACGGUACCGUAAGAAUAAGCACCGGCUAACUACGUGCCAGCAGCCGCGGUAAUACGUAGGGUGCAAGCGUUAAUCGGAAUUACUGGGCGUAAAGCGUGCGCAGGCGGUUAUGUAAGACAGAGGUGAAAUCCCCGGGCUCAACCUGGGAACUGCCUUUGUGACUGCAUAGCUUGAGUGCGGCAGAGGGGGAUGGAAUUCCGCGUGUAGCAGUGAAAUGCGUAGAUAUGCGGAGGAACACCGAUGGCGAAGGCAAUCCCCGUGGGCCUGCACUGACGCUCA